GAUGGGCAUGCGUCUGAUUAGCUGGUUGGUAGGGUAACGGCCUACCAAGGCGACGAUCAGUAGGGGUUCUGAGAGGAUACACCCCCACACUGGUACUGAGACACGGACCAGACUCCUACGGGAGGCAGCAGUGAGGAAUAUUGGUCAAUGGGCGGAAGCCUGAACCAGCCAUUCCGCGUGAAGGAAGAAGGCCUUACGGGUUGUAAACUUCUUUUCUGUAAGAAGAAUAACCGGGACGAGUUUCCGGGAUGACGGUAUUAUAGGAAUAAGCAUCGGCUAACUCCGUGCCAGCAGCCGCGGUAAUACGGAGGAUGCAAGCGUUAUCCGGAUUUAUUGGGUUUAAAGGGUGCGCAGGUUGUUUGACAAGUCAGUGGUGAAAGUCUGCCGCUUAACGGAAGGAUUGCCAUUGAUACUGUUGGACUUGAGUAUGGAUAAGGUAUGCGGAAUGUGUAGUGUAGCGGUGAAAUGCAUAGAUAUUACACAGAACACCGAUUGCGAAGGCAGCAUACUGGGCCAUUACUGACGCUGAGGCACGAAAGCGUGGGGAUCAAACAGGAUUAGAUACCCUGGUAGUCCACGCUGUAAA
rnacentral:rRNA from 1 species